CUGGCUCAGGACGAACGCUGGCGGCGUGCCUAACACAUGCAAGUCGAGCGGUUCGGCACUUAGCGCAAGUUAAGUGUCGGAUAGCGGCGGACGGGUGAGUAACGCGUGGGCAACCUACCCUUAAGACCGGGAUAACACCUCGAAAGGGGUGCUAAUACUGGAUAAGGUCAUAAGGUGGCAUCACCAUAUGAAGAAAGGGGGAACCCGCUUAAGGAUGGGCCCGCGUCCCAUCAGCUAGUUGGUGAGGUAACGGCUCACCAAGGCGACGACGGGUAGCCGGCCUGAGAGGGUGGUCGGCCACACUGGGACUGAGACACGGCCCA
rnacentral:rRNA from 1 species